ACCCUUUGUUCGCUGUGAGGGCCGUGGGAGUCGAGGUGCGGCGCCAUUUUGUUUGCUGUGAGGGCCGCGGAAAGGGCGCAGGCAUGGGCUGACCGGCGGGAAGGAGUCUGUUCUGCCAGGACCAGCAGGGUUCAGAAAUGGUGUGUUCGAGCAGGAGCUGCACCACACCUCCUGGACUGCAGAGCAGCAUAAGGCAGCUGGAGCUUCUACAUCCAGCAUUUUGUGUACGAGUGAAAAGUCUUCUUGGAUAAUUAAGACUGUGUCUAAAGUCACAGUUACAGUAUGCUGAUCUAUAAGGAAACUCAGACAAAGUUCCCCAGAGGACACCUGAACACCUCCACAUAAACAGAGCAGGAUCGUUUUCCCCCAGAGAGCAAAGUGUGACUCUGGAGCGGGACAAAAAGCAGCAGAGAUAACACCAACAUUGGUCACUACAUCUCAGUGGUUCGUGGAGGCUCUACAGGGGUUUUUUCUGUUGAGAUUGCUUGUGUCAUCACAAAAAGCAAGAGAUUUCUGACAAGAAUAGAGGAUGGAGAGAAAUAAUCUGUGAAGGCCAAGGCCAAUAAAAGCUUAACUGCAGCAACUGGGAAAUUAAACUUAUUUCUGGAGUAAUUCCACACUGGCAAGAAGCAUGCCCCUGGCAGGUUAAAGUGUCUCAUAAAUGACUCCUCAGGCAGACAGACAGUUCCAAAAACAAUGUUAACAGCCAUUAAAAAUGAAUUACUGGUUUUUAAUAUUUAAAAUGACAUGACCAUACAGGAACAAUGAAGACGGCAGGCUGCUGACUGUGCCAGGAAGGAAGGCUCCCAAACAACAGGGCUGUGCUGUUGGCACACUGAGCUGCUGGAGGGUGUAAUUAGUGCUCAUGCUGUAAUCUGAAAACCUGAGCAUGAGGAAUGUAAGUGUUAUUUUCUGGAAGCUACUGGAUUUGCUUUGACUAAGGCAUCUUCAGCAUCUCAUUCUUACAAAUCUGUGGUCCUUAAAACAAGUGAAAAUAAUGUCUGGAUUCCCCUCCCUGUCAUCUGCAAACCUUAGGCAUGUUGUAGAGUCACAGAGAAAAUGCACUUUGAAAAGUAAGGGGAAGGAGAAAGUGUCCGUUUUGUUAACUUUUUCUUGGUUGAAUGUGAAAUGGGAACGAGAAGCCUUUGGACUUCCAAAGCAGUUUCUUCUAUCAGAACAAUGCAUGACUCCACAUCAGCCAGAGUAUGAACAGAAAUUCCUUUAUUUUUGGCCACCACAGAAGCUACUGAUAGAUGCUUCCAGGUGCAGUUCAUUUAGAAAGUUUCUGGGAGCUCAGGGACUCUGGAGCCUCCCGACUUCAUGUCCACAAGGGUUUCUUGGGAAGGCCACUCCUAAUGCUAAACAGCACAUGAUCCAGGAGGUUCUUAGGUAGGAAGAGAGUUUUGGGAAUUGUGCCAUGGCAGUGAACUAUGAAGAAGACAAAUCAUAAAAUAAUAAAGCCAGGAAAGGCAUUAUGCCCAUAACUGUGCUCUGUGCACACCAAGCUUCAAGUUGUACACUCAUUUUAAAGGACACGCACUGCCAGCUUUCCAUCUCUUUGAUUUAUUUAGAGCCCCAUGAAUUCUGCCUUCUGCUUCAUCUCAGAUGAUUAAAGAAAUCACUUACACAGGUGACUGACACACAUGAAAAAGAAUGUCCUGGCAGACAAAAAUCAAAGUAUCAGCUCUGAGUGUGGUGCCUUACCUGGUGUUAUGUAUCCAGUAGCAGCAGCUGCCCCGACAAAUGCCCCUCGUGUUAAAGCACCUCGUCCUCUGCCUCGAACAGCCUGGACUGCUGCAGAAACAGCUGUAUUGACAACCCCUUUAGUCUGCCCAGAGUGACAAAAAAUAGCAGUUCAGAGAGUGAAAGUGUUGCUGGAAUACAAGGCCACCUGCAUUAAAUGACCCCUUUCAGAGAGCUCUUUAACAUGCCAGAUGUGCCAGGCUGGCUGGGCGCGGGCUGGAGCAGUCUGUGCUGGAGGCUGUGACUGACAGGAACACGGCAGGCCCCUUGCCCGGGCACUGACUGCAGAGCCCAGCAGUUCCCUCACCCACACCCCGUUAUUUACCUCACAUUUGGUCAGCACUGAACACCACUGGCUUCUGACCCUCUCUCUGCUGCUCCUCCCUGCUCUUUUCCCACCUCCUUACAAGCUUCCUCUCCUCAACCUACAGCACUGUCUUGGCUUCUGUCUUACCCUCCUGAACCCACUGCAGCAGGCCAGGAUUUCACCCCAAAGACAAACAACCACCUCACAACAACACCAGCCUGUGUUAACCUUACUUUACUAGAAUGUUGCCUCCUGUAUCAAAAAACAAUCCAGAGCUGGGAUAUCAGAGUCCAAAAAGCAAGUAACAAUUCUUACCUGAGGAAGAAUCUUCUUCUUCUUGUUGUUUGCUGCAUUAGGCCCAGAAAACAGUUUUUCAAGUGCUGCUAAUGCAGCACUUGCUUUUGCUACCUUCUUGUUUGGGCCUGCACCUCUGAACUUCUGCCCAUCUACUUCUACCUGAAAAUUGAGACAUGAGUUUAUGCCUAGUAUUGAUCUCUGGGAAUACCAUACUGCACCCACUGGGCUGAGGUGCCACCCACAGAGAACCUGAGGAGGAAAAAAUCCUCUUGUGUUUUAUGUGACAAAUUUCCAUUCAUUCUAGAUAUGAAGCUGGUAAAGGAUACCAGGGUUAUCCUGGGAACUAGUGUAUCCCAUAUAUACUGGGAAUCUGGAAACCACAAGUGCAAUUCAGAGAGGAGCAGUAUCUAUUGGAUACUGGAUUUAGCCCAUCCCCUGGAGCUUUCCUUGACAGGAAUCCCGUGAGGCUCCCCUUGAUUUCAUCAAUGCCUUACAGACCAACAUCCUUGCCUGCACUAUACCCUGAACUGCAGCAGCAAGGGGCUCUGACCCAUGGUAAUGAACCCCCCCCAACUGCAGCUCUGCUGCACUCACCUCCAUCACAAAGCGCUUGUCGUGGCUCCCCCCGGUCUCAGAGAUGAGCUCGUACUUGAGACCUCUUCUCUUUUCAUUGAGCUCCAUCACCGGGUUUUUGCCACUUGCUGUGAGUAUGGGACCCUGAGUUCUUACCUAGAGAGACAUUCAGGGUGUUACUUUAGAGCCUUUAUCUCUUCAAAAGGCGGCCAAAGCUGCGCAGACCUGUAUCCCAGGUAACACUGCCUGGCUGCAGCAAGACGUGCUGUGCUGGCAGAGCACGUGGGAAGUCUCUGAAGAAGGGCAGGAGGACAGACAAUGGUGUCAAAGAAGUCACAGCUGUUUGUUGGCGAGGGCAGUGUCCUCAUGGCCUGGUCUGGUGCCUGCACAACCUGAACUUGGAACUGCAACCCUGAGAGAAUGCAGAGCUAAAGGUGGGGCCGGGGUGUCAAGUUCCUUGAAAGGGAAGGCUUUAUCACCAGAGGACAGACUGGCCUUCCCAACCCUGCACACGUCUCUGCUCUGUCUAAUUACGGCCUGGCACUGCCCAGCUCUGACUGAAGGAGUCUCAUACCCCGAGUCACGUGUGUCAGCAGAAAUAUCUGUUACUGUCUGGAGAGCAAGGAAGGUAAAGCUGAGAUCUCAGCACACCAGCGGAUCAGCCUGCAAUGGAAUGCUCUCAGCCUCGGUUACAAACAGGGCAGUUGGGUUUAAAACACUCCCUUUCCCUGGAAAUUUCUCAGUGGACUAAACAUGUAUGUGAUUUGAGUUAUCCAUGAUAACACACCCUCUGGAAAUUAAGUGUCUCCCAAGUUAAAAAAUUCACGUUUUAAUAUCUUGACAAGAACAGGAAAAAAACCCAGUAAAAAGCAAAAACCCAAAGCCCACAUCUCUCUGUCACUUGUACCUUCCAGGCAAUCCUCACCUCUAGGGUAGCAGAGGUGUCCGCUGUGGAAUUUCCAGUAUUAUUGCUUGAGAUUGAAGACGUAGUUUCAUUUUUACCUUCAGUAUCUGAUUUUUCAUCAGAACUCACACACUCCGCAUCUGCAUCAAAACCAGUGGGAUACCCCAUGGCUUGUAAAACCUACAACAGAGCCCCGGGAAAUGAACUGUGACAGAGGCAGCGGACAGGAACAAAUACAAAGCUGAUCACAACACCAAAAAACAUCCACCAUACACUUAAUACAAGCAGAUUGCUUAGAAUGGUAGUUUUCUCCUGUUUGAAAUGGAGAUAACCAUUUCAAUGGAUAUCAGUGGGGAAUACAGUAUCAAUGGGGAAAAUAAUUCCAGGUUUCCAAAAGUGGAAUCAACACAAACAAGAAUUUUAGUCUCAAAGAUAGCAAUUACUCAUGAGCAUCAUAAGUAUCUCGAGAAUUCCUUGUAAAAUAAGAGAUUAAAGACACUGUUUAAAAGCCCAGUCACACAUGAUGUUUCCCCUCUCUGUGUCUAUGGACAGAUCAGGAGAUGGACUGUGGGGCAGACAAGGCAAACAGUCUUGUGAGUAUUAAAACCUUGUACAAGAUGGUACUUCUGGAGCUCAGUUCCUUCAAAAACAUGCUCCACUAGCAAGGCCAGCCUCUCCCUUCACCAGCUUCCUGACCCAGCUGUGCAGAGCUACCAGACUAAAGGAAUCUGAGAGGAACCUGAAGCUCUGCUGAGAAUUUAGUCCCAAGAACAAAGUCUGCAAAAAUCACUUUGUUCCAACCCUCAGCUGAGAACUGCACAGGUAACCCCAGGCUCAGCUCCCAUGCCAUCGGGGAACAUCUGGCUGCAUUUUCAGGGCUUCUACAUUUUAAAGAGGUCAGAUUAGAAAGUGAAAUGGUCACAUUAUUCCCUCUUAUAAGAGUGGGAAGGCAGGGCCUGGAUCUGCUAGGAAAGGAAAGACAGAAAAACAGCAAGUCUCUACCACACCACCCAUUUCCUCUUGGCUUGAAUCGUGGAUGUUUUGAUGUGUAAAUUUAGAGAAAAUGGAGCUGGGUCGGCACCAGCACAGAUCUGGCUGAUGCAGAGAGGUUCAAGGGCAGAGCAGUCACAGAUUUUCAGGGCAAGUGGGUUUUUUGGGCCUUUUUUUAACAAUUGCAGGGAGGGAGGCAAAAUAAAAAGAAUAAGGCAGAAGGUCUGGAAGGACACACAUGCAGAGAGCUACUUUUCCUGGAGGAACAACACAUGCCCUCAGAUACUUCUGGACACUUUGAACUUGAAAGCACAUAGGACAAUGGGAUUUUGAAAACUGAAGUCAAAGGAAAGCAGAAAGUUGCCAGAUGAAGCUUCUGAAAAGGAAAUUCUUGUUCAAAACAAAACAAAGCACAGAACACAGAUGGGCCUGUUCCUGUCAGAGCUGCAGUUCUGUUAACAGAGGUUUUUUCACAGAACCACUUAGGUUAGAAAAGACCUGUAAGAUCAUCGAAUCCAACCAUUGGUUACCCCAGCCCUGCCAAGCCCCCACUGAACCACGUCCCCAAGCACCACAUGUGCGGGAUGCUCACACUGGGUGUUCCAGUCUGCCACUGCUGUCAUGUAGAGCACCCCCAAGAAGAACAGCAGGUUGACUUGUCCCAGAAUGAGACCACAGUCCUAGUGGAAAUUUGACUGGAGACCCAUCAUUUACAUCCACUGCUCCUCCCAGUACACAAAGGUACUUUCAGACACUGAGGCCAGGAAACAACUCCAUCUUUCCAGGUACUCACAAGCCAGGAAUGGACAGAAGGAAGGGGAGAAAGAGGGAGCCACCAGCAUGCUGUUUCCAAACCAACAUAGGAAGGAAUAGAACAGAACUCAACUGAAUCCCCCCCAUCCAGGACUUGACCACCACAUUCAGUCCAUUGCAACAUGAGCUGACCUGCAGAGCCCUGGGAAGUUCUGCCCCCCGACAGCACAAAACCAGUGAUGCUCUUUGAACCAUGCCCAGCCAUGUUUAAAGCACACAGGAAGCAGCUCAGCUUCAUCCAAUGUUUUUUAAUUUUGAGGUUUCAUAUUACUAGUUCUAUUCACAUUUCAUACUCUGUCCCAAGAUCUGGGGUUAGCAGAUUACUUGAGGCUGCCUUACCUUCACUGCCACAUGGAGCUUGGCUGUUUUCUUAGAAGGUCCUGAUGCUUCAUAAGUCGUACCAUCAACAUCUACAGACAUUGUGAAGACUGGGGCAUGGACUGGACCAGACUGUGACAGCAGCUUAUACUGAAGCCCUGGCCUGAUUUGGUUCAGCCUCAUCAGAGCAUUCAUGAGAUCUAUUGCUUUACUAUCUAGUACUAGUACAAGAUAGUAGAAAGGGUGGGGGAAGGAGGGGGAAGGAAAAUGAACAAAACAAGAUGAACAGAAAAAUGAAACAGUUUGCAUUUCAGUGCCUUCUGUUUGUAUCAAGGAGCAAAACCACCCCUUGGCCUCUCAGAGGUUGAGGAGAGCCAUAAUGCUGUUAAGGCUUUAAUAAGAUUAUUUAUAUCAUUUAAUAUAAACUAUAAUAUUUAAUAUAAACUAUAUUAUUUAAUAAGUCUAAUUUGGGGUAGCAACUAUAAUUACCCGGUUUUUAUAUUAACACAACUCUUUUGCAGCUAGCUGUACUCUUCCUGGCUGCUGUAAAAGGAGUAACAAGUUUUAUAGGUAGUGGGGAACAAGGUCCAGAGCUGGCACCCAGGUAGCACAAUGCAAAUGGCCCCCAGAAGGACUGGAUCCCAGCAAUGCCAAGAGACUUCCAGUCUGUGCCUAUAUGCAACAUUAACGUUUUGUAGAUCAAACAUUUUAUUUUUUUUUUGUGGGAGGUCUUGGGAGACCAGGAAGGGUAAUAAUGCAGAGUCCAAUCUUCACUCAGCAAAGUCAGUGCAGUACUUUGAAAAACCCACAGUAUUGGGACAUUAUCAAUAAAAACCCUCAGCUGCUUGGACAACUUCAAUUCUAGUGUAACUUGAUGGGUAAUCCCAGUUAAAAAUGCAAAUCAUUCAGUUAGUAAAACAUGUCAGGGGAAAUUCAGAUGCACAGUAAGAGAUGUGUUUGACAUUCCAAAUGCAGGGUGAUAGAGACAACAUCUUUUUGUUCCAAAGACUUUUUCACAUGCUCUACCACACCAACACAGAGAAGCUUUUAAAGCAGCUCCCCCUGUACAAUAGAUCUUUGAAAACAGAAUGGAGAAGUGCUGCACUUACUUUUCCUCAGAUUACGCUUCAUCUUUUUAUUUGGAUCCUUGUCAUCCCCGACACUGUCUUCAAAGGGUCUCUUCAGAGCAGACGAGCCUGUACCUGGGGUAUAAAGUUCCUUGUAAUAUGGAUAUGCCAUUAGAAAAACAACAUUCCACAGCAGGAGUCUGAUUAGUCCCACACGGUUCCUUGCUUGUUUAUAGUGACAAGAGCUCAUCCAUCAGUCACAGCUCUCUUAUUGCUGCACAGAAGCCAAUAUUGGUUUACUGCUCAGUGCACCAGGCCAGGCAGGAUGUCUGUGGCCAAUACCAGGUGGGAGACAAGCCCUGCAAACCUGCAGGGCUGUUUUCCACAGUUACUCUUAAGGCAAGAACUCCACCAGUAUUGUUUUUACAAAAAAUACAAGUGGAAAUUUAUUCUUAUUAGAUGUAUAUUGUUUUCUAGGAAGAAUCCUUGGGUAAUUCUUAUUAUGGACACUCAUUAUAUGCUUCUGACAGUUUACAGUCUUUACUUCCAGCAUAAGAAUCAAACACUACUUCUGCUCUUUGGAUGCCAAAGGCCUUCCUGGUUAAAGAAAUUCAUCAGCUAUAUUGUAGCAGUACCCCUACUCCUCUCUUGGUAUUUAUAGAGAACAGAAAUUCCAGAUUUUCUCCUAACUAUGAAAUAUUUUUUAAAAAAAAUCACCCCACAUAUAACACCAAGAAAAGCCUCUACUUCACAUUCACAGCACAUAACUCAGGAACUUCACCCAUUCUAAAUUAACCCCUAGUUUACUGCCCAAUCAGUGAUUUUUGGAACAAAUGAUACCUACCUUCUUUGUCAGUUACUGACCAGGAAUAUUUCUGAAAUGACUUAUUGGAUGGGAGGGGAUCCAUUUCCAACACCUUAUAGAUCUGCCCAAAGGCUGAUAGUCUGAGGGCAUGCUGCAGGGGGAGAGGAGAAACAGGGGUUACAUCCCAGCAGGACUGCACAUCAGCUGGCCAAGUUUGUAGAUAAGUCUCUAGACACAAACCCCCUCCUCUGAGGAGGCAGCUUCUCCAGCUGGGGAGAAUGGCACUGUCCAAAAACGUGCAACUGGUUAAUUCCUGGCACACAGGGUGCAGGGGCUCCUCCCUGAGGGGAGCCCACCCAGGGCUCUGUGCCACGGGCACCGAGGUGGGAUGUGAGCAGGGCACAGGCAUCUCACUGCCUGAGGGGACUCACACACUGAACUCCUGCACUCCUGAACUGGGGUUAACCUGGCCAGGGUAGCACCCCACAGGAACUGCCAGGACUGCCAUGGAAUAAGUUCCCCUGGCAGAGGAGAACUGAGCUGCUCUCCCUGCUGCAGUCCAUCUGCAGGGUGUCCUACCUGGGCACUGUGUGUAAUGGCUUCUUUUUGCUGCACUGUCAUGUCAGACAAAGCGUCCGUGGGCUCGCGCUCGCAGGGGUCGUGCAGACCCGGCCCUCCUGGCGGGGAGAGAGAGGCAGAGGGAUUACUGGGAGGAAAGAGAAGCAAUAUGGAAACAGGGGCUGACAGGGAAUGCUGAAGGCUGGCACUGGCUGCUGCAGAGUGGGGAGCACACCUUCUCCAGCAGGGAGUCAGACCUCGUACAGAGCAAGCUGACCCUGAGGUUUUAAUCCUUGCAGUACUGGCCAGAGAACUUAGCAGGGUAACGCUGCACGUGUGUGAUAACAUGAACUGAAAGCAGUAGGUUUAAAAAUAAAAAAAUCCAAAUAAUUUGGACAGCUACAUAGUCUAUUUAUUUGUAACCUCUUAAUGAGAUCGGGGUUAAUUUACACACGUUCCUUUCGUCCCCCAUUAACCUCUCCUGCAGUGGCAGUACUCGUUCACACAGUGACCACCAUGCAACCUCCUUUUUUUUUUUAUUUUAAUUUUACACAAGAAACCAUUAGUUUCACUCCACAGCAGAUUCAGAGUUCAAGGCAGGCAUUUCUCAUCUAAUCCUACAGCAAGAGCUAAAUUUAAAGCUGGCUGAUCAACCCCUUGUGUUCCUGGAGUUCAUUUGGCCCCUUACCGGGAAGCAGAAUUCCAGAUGCCAAACACUCCAUGACUCGUCGCAACGCUUCCCCAGCGCCCAAAGGUCUAUUACAAGUACCUAUAGAUUUUUCACAUAUAAGCUCGAGUGGCUAGAAGACAUUAAAUUACGAUUAGUAUGGACACAAGGGUAACUGUGACUGCAGUUAAAUAUGGAGGGGCAGAGGGGAAGAACAUUCACAUCAGGUGACUCAUUUUUAAUCCACUACAGGUCUAAUGGACAGGCCCAUCCCAGAGGAGGCCACAUCCUCGUUCGUGGCACACGUCUUUGUCCCCUGCUCUGAGCUGCCUUCAGAGGACACCAACUGCUCUCUGCUGUCUGCCCAGGAAGUGGAAAAGGAGGAGCCUCUCGGGCCAGAUCAGGAGUGACGUUUUGUGGCACGUGAUUACUGAACAUCCAUCUGUGUAUUUCUGUGAGGAAACUUCACUGGGACAAUAUAAACAUCUGCUUAAAGCUCAAGUAUUGUAUCAAACAGGGACAACAGCAACACACCUUGGAACGGGCAGUCAGAGAGCCAGUCCCUCACGUGUGCUGCUGCUGCAGAUGGAGUCACAGCAAUACAGGGGCUGCAAGAGGCUCAGCAGCUGCACAGGGAUUUACAAAGCCAGGAAUGAAGAUGAGCAUAGAGAGAAACUGUUCACACGGCACAGGACGGGGUUGGGAACGGAGAAAAAGGAACUUCAGCAGGGACCAUCAGUGGUGGAAAUGCUCAGUUUGAAGACCACAAGCCAGGCUGCAAAAUUAAUUUCUCGAUAAUGUCAUCUCCAGUGUGUCACCUGGAACAGCAGCAAAGACACUUCCAGCUCUUCCUUUGUUAAAGAAGCUCCCUCAGCCUUUGCAUUCCCCACCAUCUCCUUGGGAUCGAGUCCCCAGCAUCAGACCUUGCCCUCCUGUCAACAUCGAGCAACAAAUCUCUGAGCAGCAGCAGAAGAUCCACAUGAGCAUCCUGGAGGCAGCACAUGAGCCACAGGCCCCUGCUGCUCCAGAGGACAAUGGAGCCCCUCUUCUGUCAGGCAGCAGAACACACACAGUCUGUUCUCGGGAAGAACAGGAGCCAGGAAGGACAAGAAGAACAUUGCAGGACACCAGCAAGGGACCCGAGCCUUUCUGCAAGGUAAGGGGAAGCUUUGCAGCCCUGCUCAGUAAAGCAGCUCCUCAGCACUGAGCAUCUCACUCUGCACACCAAAUUCCACCAUAUGGUUUGGCUUUGAAGGAAAAAAACCACAGGCAGCUGCCUUUGCCACUUGGUUUUUCUAGAGCUUUAAGAGACAUAGGAACAGGCUGUGGAGGAUAAGGGAGUUCAUUCUUCUCUCUCUCUCUCUCUCUCUUAACAAACAAACAAAUUAACCAGUCAACCUCCCCAGCCUUCCCACUACAUACUACAUGGCCACCUAAACCACCCAAAACCAAAUGGGAAGGAUAGAGGGUCUGAGAGCAUCUUUCUUACAAAUCAGAAGAGACACUGGGAACUCCCAGAUGACCAGGAGUGCACGUGCCUGAACCCCAAUGACACCCCUCAAACAAGGUCUCUUCAGUCUGCUCCACACUAAGCUCCAGCCAUCCAACAGCAGUUUAUAAGUCCUGGGAGUUCAUUCAGGAUGGCUGCUUUGAUCCUAGAUCUUUUCAGGAGAUUUUUCAAAGUUUGCUAGAGUAUUUUCAGCUGGAAAGGACCCACAACAAUCACCAACUGCAACACAAGAGGAGCACAAAUAAUGAAAGCAGAGCAGGGAAAAGGAAAGAGGGGAAGUACAGUAAAUCCUGUACUCCUCAGCUCUCUGCCAGAAUUCAGUUUUCUAUAGGCUGUGCAUGAGACUUGCUACUGUGCUGUGUGAUGAGGGCAAAGGGAGCUCAUUGAGCCAAGGUGCACCUGCUAAAACUGGCACUAAAACUACUGCAAGUGACUGGUGCCCAGCACAAACAGAAAGCCAGUCCUUGUUCCUCUGGCACAAGAGGACUCCUUCCUGCGAGUGCCACGUACAGCUCAGACAUUUAUAAGCAAAAGCAAAGACACUGGCCAAGGGAUUUGUAUUAAAAUACAGAUUACAGCUCACAGGGUGAGGGAAAUGGCAAAGGGAGCAGUGAGUCCAUGGCCAGCCAGGCUCUCCCCAAGCAGCCCUUCCUCUGAAGGAGCUGCAAGGAGACAGCCUGAGCCAACAGUUUCUACAGCAACUGCAGAAGCAGCAGUUCAGUGAUACUCUGAGCCUGCAGUAACUGCAGAAGCGUCAGGAAAUGGAUACUCCAGAAGGAACCUGCCACAGUUUCACCUGGACUGCCUCCACCUCCCUGGGCAGUCCAUUGAUCCCAGCCAGCUGAGCUCCACUCUCUACUUGCCCAUUCCUCUGCAAACACUUCUGAAUCCUCUUUACCCUUGAUGUCCUUUCAGUACACUUGCUCCUCUUCAGAAUUUCAUGGAAUUUGACACAGGCAUGAGAGAGAGUUUUGUAGACACGGUGCUGGAAGGAUGAGUGUCCUCAUCCCUCCGUGUGUGGGGCUGCUGCAACUCCUCAGGGAGGGUGGAAUGCUGUUAUGACAAUGGCCCUGUGCUCGUGCUGCACCACUAAAAGCACCCUUGGAAGCAUCUCAACAGGAACCAAAACAGAGGCUGGUUACCACCCAACUGCACAGAAAGAGCAGAGCCAUUUGUAACAGGGUGACUUCAACACUGAUGUGCAGAGGCCAUAUUAAGGAGCAAAAUACUGCACCUAUGCACUUGGUAAGUGUCUCAACUAAGAACUGUCACUCACUGAAGGAUGUUUGGGGCAGGACAUCUCUCAUUACCCUUUUAAGAAUCUGCUGUAGAUUCUCAACAGUUCCACGUAAACUUCAUCAGUUCCACACAAACACCCUUUUGCACGAGUUUUUCCUUAACUCUGCAGUUUUACUUUGUUUCACACAAACUUGGCACGAAGCUCAGACUCCUGACCCUCAGCAAGAAGUUAAACAACACUGCUCGUUUGUUUUUAGAAGGGUCAGGAAGUUUCCAGUUUCAGGCUCAUCAGUGUUCCGGGUGGAGGGGAGCAACAUGUACAGUCCCAGCUCAGGGACAUUCAGUAUUCAACCCCUCUGCAAAGAGCAGAGACCUGGCAAAGAUGCACUUCCUAAACUGCUCUUUUUAUUGGUUUAUUACAUGAGGCCACAUCCACAAAACCAGAUUUUUGGUCAAGAGUUCACUACUUAUAUAAUACUGACUCCCAGCUACCUGCUUCAAACAAUAUCCUCUAUCUCCUGGGCUAACAAAAGGAAAAUGACUGAAUUCCCUCAAAAGAUAAAGCAGACUGCAUGAAAAUAGUGGAAAAGAAUCUCAUUCCCACACUAAUGGUAGUAGAGAAGAAACAUAAAGGCAAACAUAUUUUGUUUUUAUCUUUGUGCCUUUUAUCAUGAUUGUUUCAGAUAGCACCAUCACUAUUGUGACAGUUAUUUCUAAAACGUGAAGUACUAUGAAAUCUAAAGUGGAAAAGUGUCUUAUAAGUUGUUAAAGCAUCAGCAUGCAAAGAUGACUUCUGGAUCAAAUUUACUCCUUAGCAGGCUGGUUUUGAAGGAAUAAACAGUACAGUUCCAGACAACCAUCUUUUAGUACAAAUUAAUAUUAAAAAGUCACUUAUUUAGCAACUAUGCACAGUGUCAGGUUCCACAUAAUCUGCUAAGACUAAAAAGUCAACCAAAAUGUUUAAAUUGUUGAAAAUACCCCGGUUACAGGAGGUUCUUAAGCGGCUCCAAGGUGGGAGUCAUGAUUCUUUUCUCUUACACAAAUUUAGACAACUGUGUUCUCUCUCCAGCCUCCUGGCCAUCUGUAGAGAUGAGGAGGUGUGUACAGAUGUGGGCUCAGAGCAGAACAAGCUCCUUCUCUGAGCUCAUAUUUUUGGCAGUCACCAAUUUCACCCUCACCCACCAGAAGCAGAGAAGUUAUCAGUUUUGUCUCCCCCCCUUUCCCAGUAUUUGCCUUUCUUCCUGGCUUUUCUAGAACACUUGUCACCAUAUUUACUGGAGUACAGUUAUCACUGGUUUUAAAAUAACAGUUUUUCUAAGACGGAGAAAUAUUUCAGGUCUUUAUAGGGGAACUUCAGACACAAAGAAAUUAAAUUGUGCAGUAAAUCAGCGGCAGAACCUGAAAAGGGGCCAAAUGCUCCCCUAAUCAAUACUUGCAGGUUAAUCACAGAGUUGCUCAGUGCCUGGUGUUGAAGGGGUUUACCCACUGGGCUUUUUAGCAGUUUCCAGUUUUGGAAGGAAUGCUCCCAGUUCUCCUGGACACCCCAUCCCCGUUACCCCUGUAGGCAGCACCGCAUUUCAAGGCUGGUGCUGCUCUUUAAGGUCACCCAAAUGGCACAGCUGAUCACUUUAAAGGAACAGAUUAAGUCUCUGUAUGACUGAGGACUUGGAGAGCAUGACUGGGUAACCAAAGAAGCCCUAAUCUGUUUGCCAAGUCCAAUUAUCCAGACAUGGAAUCAAGAGAUCAUGAAGCAUUAGGACACUGAAUAACUGCUCACCAAACAGCUUCAGCUCUCUGGAAAGAUGACAAUCAUAAGAGUCUCUGACAUGGAAAAGAGGUCCUUCAAAGCAGAGGUGGGGAGAAAUCAGGCCUUGAGCAUUUAUGUUUUCCUCUCAUUUCAUGCUGAGCUAAACCAGCUAAAGAGCAAAGGGGAAGAGACUGGGAUUGGAAGUAGAAGAGUAGAAAUCCAAAUGUUCUGAAUCUGUAUAUCUGUGCAUUUACAAAUUCCAGCAGAUACCUGAGAUUACAUCUGGGAUCUCGUUUCUCAGUUUAGCAAAGGUCUUUGAAGCAAAUAAGAUGAGCCCAAGCUCCUUCACUCCAGUGAGAGUCCAGGCAGCAGCUCCAAUAGCUUCUCAGGUAGGAUUUCAGCCUGGUUUACUUAAGGGAAAAAAAAAUCUCCAGUUCUCACUGCACUUAUUGUUCAGCAAAGCAACUGCAGAAGCCAAGAACUGAGGCCAUACAAAUUCUUCUUUUUCUUUGUUUCAGGGUGAGGAGUUACAUAAUAAGUAACAUUCAUCUAAAGUGUUGCCCAUUAGCAGAAGACCCCACCUAAGCACAUCUUUCCUGUCUUUAUAUACAAAGAAAAAUUAGCCAGUCAGGUUUCUGGAAUCCAGUGUAAAGUACAGCCCAACCUGAAAUGUCUCUUUCUAAUUUACUCUAAAUCAGUCCAGGUGUGGCCCUGGGGUGCACAACUGCCACAAUAUAUGGGGCUAAACACUUCCCACAUUUUCAUGGGUACCUUCUGUUCCUCAGUUUUCUCUACAAGCACGUUAUAGUCUUCCAUACUGUGCUUUAUGGAUUCCUUGCAACCCCUUCAAAUGGCCUGCUUGGAGAUCCAUGUUCUCUCCUUGUCCUGUCACACCACAGCUUUCCAGUGGCUGUGUGUAUUCUCUGGUACUUCACUCCCUGAAGUCACAGGCUGUGCACCUACAGCUGCCCUUUCUAUUCCAGAGUCCUUUCCAUAUCCCCAAAUUGUCACAUUAGACAUACAGCAAUCAGGCAGAGCAGAGAAGGAAAAGUAGAAAGGCACUAAGUGCAUGGAGGGUCAGGGAGCAAACCACAGGCCCCAGAUGCAGAGAAAAAGAGCAAGUUGCCAUAUGCAAAGAGCUGCCCCUUCAGCACAAAUUUAUCAAAAACCAGGAAUAAAUGACUGAUUUUUCUACUUGUCUUCAAACUGGAAAAUGGAUGUCUUCACCCAGACUGAGCAUCAGUCACACACCUACCAGAACAUCACAGAGCCUCCUCAGCUGGAAAAACCAGCCACGCAGGUUGGGCCACUGCCACCUCUCCCCACGUGGCCAGAGAAUUAACACAUAAACAGCUGUUCUGUGCAUUCAACUUCAAAACUGAUCAGAUGUUAACACACAGUUACUCAGCAGAUCCACUGAUAACGUGUCAGUUGUUGUGCUUAAUGAAAACCUGCACAGCCCAGUCCAUGGAUCCAACCCACACCAGGUGAUCCCGCUGCUGCUCUGUCAGAAACACAGCACCAGCUGACACUGAGAGCCAUGGGGCAGGCACCUCAAAUGCUCCUGAUUUUCUUUUUUAAUAUGAGCUGUAAUUGGUUUUUUGAAUGGGCCUAUUUGUACUGUCCUAACCAUAGGCUUUCACCCAGUCUCCAGGUGAUGUGUUUGGUCCCUGUCUUGCUAAGCAGGCUGUAAAAAGACCUUUUAAAUCAAACACCUCCUUUAGUCAGGCAUAUGCCAGCUGGCAAGCUUAAAACAUCCCCUACAUAAUAUUAGGCAAUGAAAUUCAGUGGAGUGCAGCAUGGUGGCUCAUUUCCUUGAUGACUUUGGUACACUCUCCUUAUGGAGAGAGAUCAUGUUUAUGGAAAGGGUUAAAUUGGUAACAGUGGCUGCUGCACCAUAACAAAAAACAAAGCCUGCAGUAAGUAAUGAAAAUUUUUAUGCUUCCUCCAUGACUUACCACAAUCCACUGUUACAGGAGCCCUUUCAAAUAUAGACUGAAAAAGGUGAAUUGGUCCCACAGUACCACUGGAACCAGGUGAAGCCAUUUCUUGGCAAACUCUCACUGGAAGCACUCGGAGCGCUGGAUGCCCAGGAAGACCCUACUGGCAGUCUCAGCCCCCUCAGCCUGUGCAGGGCCAGUUUUGGCACAGCCUAUUUGUGGCCUCCCACACACCUGGGGGCUCUUGGUGCCUUUCCAGAAGGCAGGUGCUGCCAGCUGAGAAGUGGGAUUAGGGAAGAUUUUGUUUGGGGUCAUUCUCAACCCAGGCCAAUAGCUCAGGAGAAACAUCUCCCCAUGGAACAUCAUCCCUGUGUCUCAGGGAACACUAAAGACUCCUGAGGGCCCAACGCUUGAGACGCUGUGCCAACACUCCAGUCUGCUGUGUGACAAGUCAAACAAGGAAUGUGUUCAGUGAAAGUGUCUCCCCUCCCAAGAAUCAGAAGGAAAAGAGAGAAGGAAAGGCCCUAAACUCAACCUGCCCUUUUCUGCUCCUACUGGGAGGGCAAUUUCUGUGAGGCAGCACCAGUUUCUGACCACUGAAUUCAUUUACUGCCAAGCCAAGUGCCAAGUUCUGCCUCAAUCACUAUUUCACUUCAGAGUUUAAGGUCUAAAAUCUUAAUCAGCUCUGGUUUAUAAUAUUUCUUCAAGUUCUGUGACAUCUUGUGGCUACCCACAAGAAAGAAUGUUCUUCCCAACCAGAUAUUCAAACAUUUAAUCUUUCAAUACAGUCAAAGUAAAUGCACAAAAAGAACAAGAAGCAGCAAAAUUUAAUUUACUGGGAUAGCCAUACAUACCCCAAGUUUAUUUUCUUUUUCAGCAUACAAUUAAGAGUAAUUUAAUUCCCCUACGUAGGCAUUACAUGAAAGAGAAACAUUACUGUGAGAAGAGCUCAGUACUAUUGGUACACAAACCUUACGACAGAUAAAUUAGACCUUAGGAAAACAGCAUAUAAUUUACAUUUUGUUAUGUCAAUCACCAGCAGCAUCUUAAGGCUCUUAAACACCAUGCCAAACCACAACAUAAGGGAACUAAUGUAAAUCAACCCAUGUGGCAGGAUCACUUCAGUUUCCACAAUCCAAGAGAUCCCCUAAAAUGGAUUUCAUCAGAUUAUUCCUCUUCAACAUCCAUUUACACCUUUAAUUUGCCAGCACGUUAUGACAGUCUUUUACUCCAAGAGCUACCAAGUUGUGCAUAGUUCUAGAAAAACCAACAGUGUAAAACAAGGACAUGAAUUAAUCCCUGGCCUUCCCUAGAGAAGCCAAUGGGCAAAUGUGCAGGUGGCCCAGAAAAUCCCCCCUUGGAUUAGUCCCAGAGAUCUUGGGUUCAGCAGAGGGACAGAAAAGGACCGUGCUUUACAUCCCUUCCCCAAGAGCAGAACAAAUGACAUACCCCGGGUUUGUUCUCUCCCACAGCACCUCGGCCACAUUCCAGCUCUGCCCGGGAAAUGUCAGGAUGGGCUUUGCAAAGGAGAACUGUGAGCAAGGCAACAGCCCAACACAGCCCGAGGGUUCUCUGUCCUCUCCCAUUCCAGGGUGUUUUACAGGGAGACCACCGGGAACAGGAGGUAAUUUAGCUACGGAAUAAAGCCCCAAAAUCCAAAGAGCAACAUGUUUACUCACUCCUAUAAUUCAUAAGGAUUCCUGUGCAGGUUUUUUGUUAAGGGACAUGAAUUGAGGUUUUCAGAGAAGUUCAAUGGGAACACUGUCCCUCUGUGAGCUGGAACAGACACGAACUGGGACUGUUCUCUGUCAUCAGUGCUCCGUGAAAAACUUGCACAUAAGAAGGAAAAACGACACAAGUGCCAAGAAGGGCAGAAGUACAACUGAAAAAAUAUUGUCUCUGGCCUUGUAGCUUGUAUCAAUUAUUGCUUUUAACAAAAGAUUAUCAGCAAAUGUCAGGUAGGGCAGCUCAGGCUUCUACUUCCUUAAACAUCGAGUACAAAGUUUCUGUUUAUCAAAUCACGCUGCAAGUGCAACAAACGUACUCAAACUCUGCUUUCCACAGAAAGGUUCAAGACUUAAAUUUUUCUGCUCUUUCAAUCUGUAUCAGUUUUUCCUGUUGCUUUAAACAGGAAUUUUCCUUUUGGUUUCAUCCCUGCAGCACACUCAGCAGCAGUGCAAUCUUCACUUGCCAACACUGCUGGGUUACAGCAAAUCCAGGACACUACAGCAGCCAAGUGCUCCUCAUGUGGGUGUUGUUAGCUCAGUCCUCCCUCCCCCAACCCCAUAAAAUGAGGUACAGACCCCAAAAUGCCAUGCUGAGCUCUGCUGUUGGCAUGGUGAGAGACACCGUAAAUCCAGGCUCCCCAGGAGCUGGAAGGGGGCCCAGGGAGGUGCUGACUGACCCUCAGCCACCAAAACCUCCUGGGUACCUCUCCCUCACCUGCCCCCAGUACUCCCCCUCACCCAGCCCAGUCUAUAAAAUACACCAACUGCCACAGUUCUACUGUUCCCAUAUUCACACUUACACACCUUGGCCCCUUGUAGGUGUCUGUGCAUCACCCCAACCCAGGACAAACUCCUCUUCUCUGUAUUAAUACUCAAACAUGCUCACCGGGGCUUUUUACACACUCAGAAGCUUGUUAUCCAGCCAGAGCCUUUCCCUCUCCCCUCUUUCCAGCCAUGGAGCUUCAAAGAGCUCUAUUUACAUGCCAAGUUACAAAGUUCAGCUGCUUCCAAAGCAACGUGGAAAAACUGCAGCUUUUAUGAUUCUACAGUGAGGUUUUUCACAACAUGAAGCAGCUCCUUUGACUAGUUUUUUUUAAUUUUUUUUUAUUUCCAAACAAGAUUUCACAGUUCAAACCCCCCAAAAAGUCUCAGUCCACCCACAGGCCUUUGAGGGCCUUCAAAAGAGAGCUCUGUGACCUCAAGCAUCAUGUACUGAAUGAACAUCCAUGGAAAAGCUGCUUACAGGUCAGAAACAAGGCUCACCAAAAUCCCCAUAUCCACUGGAGUUUAAACUGUUUCUCUCAUGUUCAGGCCUGGCACAGCCUGCCUUAUGCCAUCUGCUGUUGUACCUUUCCAUUUGCUUACUUUGUUCUCUUGCUUCUGAACCUCUGGUGUGGAAUCAGUCACGUCUGAAAUUCCAUCAGGACAAACCACAAGGCUGGAUUUGGUCACUUCUUCAGCACCAUUCCUAAGAGUUACCCCUGGGGCUCCUCCAGCCCCCAACACAAGUAUUUCUAGAUGGAAUCUUUCUCCACUUCCCCAAGGCAUUAAGUCCUAGAUUUCCACCCCGUAUUUAGCCUGUCAACCACAUGGAGCAAGAACUGGCACUUCAUCAGCAUCAUCUUUGUGCAGAGAUGUCAAUAUUGCCAAUAGUUCAGCAAUAACAACUAGGCUGGAUGAACAGCCCAAGCAAAUAAAACUCCUUUAUAAAAUCAGGACCAACAAAAUCAGCAAGCCUAAGGAUUCUGUUUGAACUAGAAAUGCCAAAGCAGCACCAGACUGGCACCAUCCGUGAUGGGAUUCUGAGAAACAGCAAACUGAAAACAUCAAACCCUCACUGUUAGCAACCCUUAUCCCCUCUUCUCCACAGCUCUCCCUUCAUUCUACACCAACGUGAAGCAAAGGAAAACGACUGGAAAGUUUCAGAGAGAAGAAAAUGCUACAUGCCAAGAACUUCCAGAGGCAAGUCCAACUUCCUAAAAAUGACCAGGAAUUUAGUAGGAGCUACAGCCAGCUCCUGUCUGCUGACAUGGAUUUCUCCUUCCUCUCUGCACUGGCAGGAAAUAACACACCCAGCUUUUCCACCUUUCUGAUGGCCCAUUGAAGAGGUGGCUGUUUAAAUUCUUGGAAAACACUUUUGUGAGACACAGCCUUGUGCACGGGCAGGAAUAGAGCAAUGCAGCCUCUCCAGAGACACCACCAGGCCUUCCUCCCUUCCCAUUCCAAAAGUUUUUAUGGCCUCCCCUCCAAGUACAGACAGAACUGCUCCAUCCUCCUUCCUUCCUUCCUUCCUUCCUCUCUGCCUCCAGUGCUGCUUCCUUUGGGUCUCAGAAAUGGUUACCAUAUCUUUAAAAAUCAAAGAAAACCAGACCAAGGUUUGCAAACAGUCCUUCCUUCUCCGUUCUUUCUAAGGAUGUUUGAAAGUAUUGUGCAUGAAUGGAAGAAACUAUUUUCAUUUUCUGUCUUUACCCUACAAGGCCAGGCUUCAAAUGCUUGUUAGAACACCCAGCUAUUUUAAAUUAAGUUAAAUAGCCCAGCUAUUUUAAUUAACGUACAGUUUCACAGACAUUUUUUGGAACUGGAGAUCUGAAAUACCUGCUGUUCCUGACAAGAAUCCCCACUUAAGUCUGUCUCUGCUUUAACCACACUUAGCAUUUAUGAGUUUCCAGGACAAAGUACGAUAAAACUUCUAAAAACUGUUAAUGAACUAUAGGACACAGAUAAAGGAAAAAAAUAAUUCAGACACAUCCAGGACCCCCAUGUUACAAAUUUUCUCUUCUGCCAUGCCCUGUGCAGGAGCUGUUUGGAAUGUUCGCUCUCUUCUUUCUGUAAAUCAUAUGGCACCAUUUUCAGAGCCAUGUAAAUAAAUAAUAAGACAUUUAGCCAGAUAA